rnacentral:lncRNA from 1 species
AAGCAACAGCGCCCUACGAGGACACCAGGUUUCUAAAUGAUUCAUCUUCUCACAGACCUUGAUAUUCAAUCCAGGUGUAGGAAUAACAGGAUAGCCCUUGGGUUCUAUCCUCGGGGCUUGGAAAGGCUUCAGUGAAAUUCUAUAGCAAAAGGCCCCUGUGCUUACCCUGACUUUCUCUUUGUUCUACUCACUUUUUAUCUCUGAAAAGCAAAGGGAUUUCCUUGGGGGAUUAAGCAGAGGAAACAGCCAAAGGUAGCUAUCGUGUUUCAUUCGAAUUAGGAGAUGCCAAAGAAUCCUGAAGUCAACUCAACGGGAAGCCCUUUGCCCCAGUCUUGGAAGGGUCCCCGGGUCUCACCAGCACGAGCGUCACAAGUCCUCAUCCCACCCAGACGUAUCAUCCUCUCUUCUCCCUCACCCGACCCCCACUCCGGGAAUAUCUUGGACAAACAGUAGUGGUUUCUCGAGCAAGGCAGAGAAAUGUCUCAUCGGAAUGUGAUACAUGCCAAUUUUUGUCUCUUUUCAAAAGUUUUUCCAUGUAAUAUCUUGCUAACACAAAAUCAUUUUGCAAUUACAUAUUUUUAAAUGGAUGGGUGCUGUUCUCACCCUGCGAGAUUCUGGUUUUGAGUCACUGAAAUGAACAGAGGUAGAAGAACGAGACAGAUGACUAGUUUUCUUAGUGAUAGAUCUUAGAAGCUGCUGCUCAAAGAAUGAGAUGAAAGGGAAGCAUUUCCCAUACCUCCAGCCGGACUUAUCUAUCUCCUGUCAACACAAAGCUACAUAAAAAAUACAUAUUGAGCUGCUAUUCAAGAGUCGCUACAAAAUCUUGAAAUAAACAAUAACAUAAGUCACAUUUCUAUUAGACUUCUCAAAUUUUUACAUCCUGAUUUCUGGUUGACAUCUACUUUAAAAAUAUCCAAUGAUAACCUGAAUGGCCAAUUUCUAAGUUAGCCAUAUUUUUUACUAAUUCCUUUUGAAGUAAAGUAAGGGUGUUUUUUUUUUUUUUCUUUUGGUUAAUGAUUUUAAAAUGUUAAAAGAGCAAACUAUUUUUCACAUUUCCUUAUGUAACGUUGUAUUUUUCUUUUGCUUAUUAUGAUCACUCGUUACAUUUUUAGGGAGAUGCUUCAUUUAUACUUUUAGUGUUUGGGGAGUAGUCUGUGAAAUUUGACAUAUAGUAUUUCCAUUUGAUUUAAAAAUACUCUUCAUCACACUUUGGGUUUCCUCUCUAGCCCAGAUAUUAUUUAGCGGAGUUUAUCUUUUUCAUUUUUUUUUUUAAUUUUAUUUUAUUAUUUCUUUUUCAUUUUUUCUAUGUGGUUAUUUUGUUGUUUCUAAUUGUAUGAUUUACUCUCUGGACAUGUGGAUUGUAGAGUUGUGACUUAUAUUGUGUAGUACAGAACAUGGUUAAUUUUUAUCAAAAAUAGCCUUGGGCGAAAAGCAAGCUUGCUUAUGUGUCCAUGUAGUUUUUUUGCACAUAUGUUAAAUCUGCCUUAUUAAUUUUGUAUCACUUUAUGUCACAUGGAUUAACUAAAUUCUACUUCUGAACUGCUGAUAUUCCUAAUUACAUUAUAUACUGUAUUUCUGCCCAUUUUUUUCUAUGUAUGCACUUUUUGCUGAAUAAAUUUAGAAAUUUUAGAUGAGAGCCUUAUGACGCCUACUGCUUUUGCUGUGAAAUCUACCUUAUUAUGAGAAGAAUCUCAGAUCAGAGUCUUUAUUUCUAAUAGAAACAUGCUUGAAAUCUGACCCAAAAGAAAAUGCAGCCGAUGGAAUUUGCAAAGAAACAAGUAGUUAUACACACCCUUUCCACCGCCAUUGACCUCUGCCUCUUGGCAAGCCAUUGACCUAUUUUCCUAGUAAGCCCAGGCUACCAUUGUGUUAUCUGGCUGAGUCACAGCUGGGGCUUAUGGAGGACGACCUGGCAAUUACACUUUGUUCCUAGAUUCAAUGUACAGUCAUAAACUCUCUGGUGCAUGAAGUCUAAGACUUUGUGACUUGCCAAGGCAAAACGUUGUAUAAGCCAUCAGGGAAAAUGAAGCCUAUAGUGGAUUAUUGUAAUUCCACUCCAAUAGCUCCUCUAGACCCAGCAGUUUUUAUUAUUAAAUUUGCUCAUGCAUUGAGCAUAAUUAUUUGUAAAUACUCCAAAUAUUCAAAACAUUUUUUUGCUCAGCAGCCAAAUAGUUCUAAACAUGGAUAGAUGGUUUAUUAUCCGAUCCUCCUGUAAGGUCAGGACACUUGACAUGGCUGUUCCUUGCUCUCCGUAUAUCCCCUGCUGGACCAGUCCCUGCUUCACCUGCAACCCCUCACCUGAACGUUCUUGGCCCCUACCCCAGCUAGUGAUUAGUGAUGGUUCUAAUCCUUAGACCAGAAUGGUUCCACCUGUGAGCUUAUUAAAGGGAAACAUCUACCCCCCGUGAGGGUCAUUAACCCGAGAGGCUGUGAGGAAUGUGGCCCAGCUGCUGGUUUCCCUGGUGAUUGAUGAGCCAAGCUGAUGUCACUUCCCCCCUAUAAAUGGUAGCCUCCUCACCAGGGUGGUGGGCUGUUCCUCCAGGACCUUUUGCAUUGGAUGCGUAAGAGCCCCUUUCCAAUGAACCUCUGAUGUCUCUGUUGAGGUCUUCGGGAUUUUUCUUUGGUCUCAAGAGGGCUGGGCAAGUACAGGGUCUGUGGGCCUGCGGGUUACAGCCCAACAAUUGGCCAGCAAGGAGGCCAAGGAAACUCCCGUGAGCUCCAAGAUGUCGGGAAACAAGGAUGAGGAAUGCAAGGUUGUGGGGGGACCCCUGGGGUGGUUUUCCAGUGGCACUUGGGGCCUGAAAGCUGAGGGGGGGUCCUGGGGUAAUCUGUCUGCUAACAUGUGGGGCCCAGUGGCAGUUGACUACCAUGAGAGAUGUCUUUCUCUUCCAUUUAUUGAUAUAUCCUGUUAACCUCAGUCUCUCUCCAGUUUAGAGUAGCAGCCUCAUGCUCCUGUUUCAUCUGACUGCCCAGGGAUGGCUGGUGAAUACGGACAGAGUGCAGGGAACUGGGUUAUCCACCAAAUACAGGCAAACCCCAACUCACUACCCCUAACAAAUUACAGACACAAGCUUUAGGGAUAUUAACUGUUGGACAGGCUUGUGACCUGGAUGUGGCCAGUUACCUGGAAGGGUUGGGUUGGGGCCUCUGACAACAGCAAAAUAGUAAGAGUACCCUUGGGCUUCUGGUCCCAGCUGUGGAAAGGAGCAGAGCAAUGAUACUGUAUGAUGGAACGGCAGCUACAUGCCAUCCAAGAUGCCUUCCAACAGGUGGAAGACAUUGCCAAAGGCCUACCUGCGUCAUCAAGCAACGCAAACAACCCCACUUUCUGGCCAUGGAGUUCCGGAAGGCUGAGAACAACGCCCCACACUGGCGUUCCCACCUGCCCCUCAGCCCUACUGCUGCUGGGAUAAUUGAAAGGAUGAGUGGAUUGCUUAAACAGCAAUUGAGAUAGAAACCUACACUCUCAACACGUGGACCCAGGACGUGAACUCAGGCCCUGCAAACCAUCGCUGAACAUCCGAGGAGCAGCGUUCCAGUGCCUACACCGUGUUAACACAGGGGCACCUGGUCAGCACAAUCCGAAUUCAACUGUGGACCACCAAACAUUCAACGCUGACUCUUGGUCAGGACAAUAACUCACAUUUGCCCUUGUCGCAGGAUCUAUGCCUAGGGGAACACAUGAUAAGGUGGGACUUGCAGGUAAGUCCCCGGUGGUUUGGGUUUGCUGCCCUCAAGGGAAUGGGAUUAGAAAGGGAUUCACAGAUUGCACCUGUCUUCUACCCGGCCCCACCUAAGACUCUCAGGUAACUAACCUGGGUCCCUACUGGAGGAAGGCACCAUUAUAUGUACCGUGUGGUCUGUUGUUACACUGCCUCCCCCUAUUUGGCACCAGCUGAGUGUGGACAGGAGGCCAGGCCUAACCAGGGAUGGGGGUGGUAUGUCUCGGAACUCGUUUACUGCCUGUAUUUUGCUCGAUGGUUAUGGUCUUCCCUGUACUGUGCCUGUUCAACAUCUUACACCUGAUCCCUGGUUGGAGUGGAGGGAAUCCGUUUGUGGGCUGCGCAAGAAGAGUGGCCUCGCUGAGAGAUGAGUUCGAUUGCUGGGUCUAUGGCAAGAUGGCAUUGUCAUUCUCUGGAUUUCCAUGGACUGGUGACUGGUGACCCCAUAACUACUUGGCCCCAAAAUCUGCCCACCUCUUGGACUCUUGAUACCCUUGAGCUUCUGUUGUGCAUUGCACUUGUGUUUGGUGGCUGUGCACCUCCACAUACCUGAGCUCAGGGACCUCUUGGAUGAGGGGCAGACCAAGAUUGUAAGUGUCAUGCAGGGUAUGUGUGGGGCUGGAGGGUCUGGUCAGGCCACUCGAGGUGGCUGUCCUCUUGCUCUCUGUACAUCCCCGGCUGGACCAGUCCCUGCUUCCCCUGCUCCCUCACCCAUGAACGUGCUUACCCCCUGCCCCCACUGGUAACUAAUGAUCGUUCUAAUCGUGAGGCCAGAAGGGCUCCACCUGCUAGUUAUUAAAGGGAAAAAAAUCUA